rnacentral:lncRNA from 1 species
AUGUACCAUGCUUCCCCCCCUGAGAUGUGGCCCAGAGCUAGGGGUUCAGCACCAGCCACUCCUGUCCCACGGGGCUCCCCUGCGCCCAUUGCCUCAGGCAGGGAAAAUCCAAUUUUUGCAAUAAUUACUGCAUUUCUCAUGCUUUGGGUGGUUUCCGUCCCAGUGAGCUAUCCAGCCCCCAGGACCCGGGGCAGUCCGUGGGGUGACUGCUCCAUCCGAUGUUUUGUGCAGUUUCCAGCCACCAGCGUCCUGUGGCUCGCUCUUGGUCGAAUUCGGCAUUGUGCCGGUGAUUGGGACCGUGGGGCAGAUCCUUUGCGCUCCCUCCUUGAUUUCACCUCGAAUUGCACCCGUGGCGGGACCCCCCAUGUCCCCCCACACACACAGGGCCAGCACUGCCCGGGUGGGCUCUGCCCCUGCCAGCAGUCGGGGAGGGAAGGAUCUGUCCCUGCGGAAGGAGAGGGCGCAGGCAGAGUGACGAGGUGGGAAGGGACACGGCGGCGUCACAGCUGGGGGGCCGCAGCCAGGCUGCCCCUCGGUGUGGCCCCGAGGGAUCCUGACUCAGAAAAAAGGCGUCUUUGGGGUCCUGUUUUACUUCCCCAGCAUCUGGUCCUGCUUUUUGGUGGUCCUGGAGGAAGGAGGCAACUGCAGUGCAUUGCAGGGAAGCCGGAGCAGCUCACCUCUGUUUUGGGCAGCCGGGAUCUUCUGGGUUUCUCCUCUCUGGCCCCGGCCCUGGGGUGGGGGCUCACCGAGGAUGGGGGAGCACCCAGGACACCGCCACCGGUGUCUCCCCUUGCUCCAGGCCACCUUGAACCCCCCUGUGCCUUGUCCCCGUGUCCGUCUGCUGGGCUGGACCGGCUCUGCCUUCCCCAGGGGAGUUGGGGGACUGCUGGGCACCAGGCGAGGGCCAGGGGGGCACCUCCAGGCAGGAGGCCCAGCGCCUGCUCUGCCUGCCGGGCACUGCCCUGGCCCCAGCCCAGUGCCGUUUGCGUUCUUUCUUUCUAA